rnacentral:rRNA from 1 species
UACCAGCACCCCGAGUGGUCGGGACGAUUAUUGGGCCUAAAGCAUCCGUAGCCGGUCCUACAAGUCUUCCGUUAAAUCCAGCUGCUUAACAGAUGGGCUGCGGAAGAUACUAUGGAGCUAGGAGGCGGGAGAGGCAAGCGGUACUCGAUGGGUAGGGGUAAAAUCCGUUGAUCCAUUGAAGACCACCAGUGGCGAAGGCGGCUUGCCAGAACGCGCUCGACGGUGAGGGAUGAAAGCUGGGGGAGCAAACCGG